rnacentral:tRNA from 1 species
CGGGAUGUAGCCCAGUCAGGUAGGGCACAAGUCUGGGGGACUUGGGGUCGCUGGUUCAAAUCCAGUCAUCCCGACCA